UGGCAUCUGCCACAGUGUUGGAGCAAGACACUCCCAGUAUGCCACUGAAAUCCCAGUCUGGUGCUGCAGGACCUGCGCAGAGAGUUUCAGAGCUGAGGAGGAUCAGAUGUACUGCAGGAGCCUGGAGGAGCCACACAGCACAGUCGUUUUGUCCCCCUGAUGUAGCUCCCACUCAAGAGCUGCACAAGUGCACACUGGAAAUCCCUGCAGGAGGUGUUCAAGCUGGCAGAGCUUGGAGCUCUCUGCCAGCCUGCCUGAUUCCAUGAUUCUAAGGAGAUCUCCCAUGUCCCACCCUAGCUGGAAAGCUUCUCCCAUGUGCCAGGCUGGUUGGAUGCUCUCUCCAUGAGGUUUUGGGGUUCGAUUGGUUUUGUUUCCCACCUGGCUGUUAGCCAAAGCUCUCCCUGCCCAGACCUGGUGGCGUUUGUUUGCCUUUCCCUCCUCCUGCCCCCACCCCCGCAGCACCUGAGGCCAAUUGCAGUCUCCUCCCCCCCCGGGUGUGGCCACUUUGCCCUCCCUGCUCCCUGCCCCAUAUAAGCAGAGCAGGAGGAGCCCAGCCCCAAGCUGGGCCCAUUGCGGGCCAAGGGAUCCUCCGCCGGCAUCCCAGGUUCUGCGGUGGAUGCAGACAUGGAGCAGGAGCAGAACUGGAGCUGGGAACGGAGCAGGAGCCUCGAAAGUUUUGUUCUAGGUUCUGCGGUGGAUGCAGACAUGGAGCAGGAGCAGAACUGGAGCUGGGAACCGACCAGGAGCAGCAGCUGGGAAUGGAACUGGUAACGGAGCAGAAGCGGGCUGGCUGGAGGAGCACAGGGGCCGGAGCUGCAUUCAGCUGCCCGGGGGCAGGCAGCGCUGCCAGGACCCUGGCGCACACCCGCACAGGCUGUGCCGUGCCCCGGCAGGAGCUUUUGCAGCAGCUGCUCUCCGCUGCGGGUUCAGUGUCCUGCUGCAAGGAGGCUCUGCCUGCAGCUCAGAGCUGCCUUGCACCGUCUCAAGGGGCUCUCCAGGAAGGAGUCCCUCAGCCUGCUCUCAGCUCUCCUUCAGCUGCUGAAACGUAGCUCGAAGGUCUCCCUGGAGCCUUCUCCUCUCCAGGCUGAGCAGCCACAGCUCUCCCAGGCUGCCUUCACAGCAGAGCUUCUCCCACCCUCUGCUCAUGUUUGUGGCCUGCUCUGGAAGCCCUCCAGCAGCUCCCUGGCUCCCUUGUGUUGGGGGUGCCCCAGAGCUGGCCACAGCAGUCCAGGCUGAGCUCUCCCCAAAGCAGAGGGGCAGAUGGUUCACAAGCACAGACCCCACAGGCUGCCCAACGACCUUCCCACACUGCAGCUGCAGGUUUCAGUCACAUCCUUUUAGUGUCAAAGCUGAGAGACUUGAGGGCUAAGGCACCAGCAGCACUGUGCUUCAAGCCAGAGAAACACCAAAUCAAAGGAGACCUCUCUUAACUGCAGUUUAAUUGCCCAAGCCAAGCACUAAGACAAGGAACAUGCAGAUGAAUUGGGUGACUUGCAGAGCCUAAACAGCUUUAUGAGGCUGCUCCAACACAGUGCCCAGUUACAAACUGCUUCCCUGUAGAAGCAUUUUCACUUCCAGUGUUCUCCAAGCACCUGAUUUUUCACACAGACCCUUUCCUCUGUGGCCCCAAAGGUCUUCAUUAGUUAAAGGAAGAUUUUCUUUGCUUUCCAGUAAGAACAAUAAGAGAAAUGCUUUGGUCUGAAAAAUCCUUGAAGCUUUCCUCUUGGUUUGUUGAAAUGAGCUGUAAUGAAUGCCAAGUUUCUGGCCAGGUGAGCUGAGUUCAAGGCAAGUGUUGAUGAACACAGCCAAAGGACAAAGCCUGCUCACACAAUGUGCCUCAGCUGAAAGCACAAAGUGAUGCCUACAUCUGUUUGUUCCCUCCUUACCUGCUGCCCAUGUCCCUAGCUACAAACCCUCUGCCUGCACUGCCUAACAGGCUCAGCAGUGUCAGAGCAGAGAGGCAGCCACAGGCUCUCAAUGCACACCAAUGGCUUGGGCUGCAGCUCUGUUGAGCCCUGGG